CCUACGGGUGGCAGCAGUGGGGAAUAUUGGACAAUGGGGGGAACCCUGAUCCAGCCAUGCCGCGUGUGUGAAGAAGGCCCUCGGGUUGUAAAGCACUUUCAGUGAGGAAGAACGCCUGGUGGUUAAUACCCAUCAGGAAAGACAUCACUCACAGAAGAAGCACCGGCUAACUCCGUGCCAGCAGCCGCGGUAAUACGGAGGGUGCGAGCGUUAAUCGGAAUAACUGGGCGUAAAGCGCGCGUAGGUGGCUUGAUAAGCCGGUUGUGAAAGCCCCGGGCUCAACCUGGGAACGGCAUCCGGAACUGUCAAGCUAGAGUGCAGGAGAGGAAGGUAGAAUUCCCGGUGUAGCGGUGAAAUGCGUAGAGAUCGGGAGGAAUACCAGUGGCGAAGGCGGCCUUCUGGACUGACACUGACACUGAGGUGCGAAAGCGUGGGUAGCAAACAGGAUUAGAUACCCGAGUAGUC
rnacentral:rRNA from 1 species